GGGUGAGUAAUAUAUCGGAACGUGCCCAGUAGCGGGGGAUAACUACUCGAAAGAGUGGCUAAUACCGCAUACGCCCUACGGGGGAAAGGGGGGGAUCGCAAGACCUCUCACUAUUGGAGCGGCCGAUAUCGGAUUAGCUAGUUGGUGGGGUAAAGGCUCACCAAGGCAACGAUCCGUAGCUGGUUUGAGAGGACGACCAGCCACACUGGGACUGAGACACGGCCCAGACUCCUACGGGAGGCAGCAGUGGGGAAUUUUGGACAAUGGGGGAAACCCUGAUCCAGCCAUCCCGCGUGUAUGAUGAAGGCCUUCGGGUUGUAAAGUACUUUUGGCAGAGAAGAAAAGGCAUCCCCUAAUACGGGAUGCUGCUGACGGUAUCUGCAGAAUAAGCACCGGCUAACUACGUGCCAGCAGCCGCGGUAAUACGUAGGGUGCAAGCGUUAAUCGGAAUUACUGGGCGUAAAGCGUGUGUAGGCGGUUCGGAAAGAAAGAUGUGAAAUCCCAGGGCUCAACCUUGGAACUGCAUUUUUAACUGCCGAGCUAGAGUAUGUCAGAGGGGGGUAGAAUUCCACGUGUAGCAGUGAAAUGCGUAGAUAUGUGGAGGAAUACCGAUGGCGAAGGCAGCCCCCUGGGAUAAUACUGACGCUCAGACACGAAAGC
rnacentral:rRNA from 1 species